rnacentral:rRNA from 1 species
CCCUUAGAUGUUCUGGGCUGCCCGCGCGCUACACUGAAGCGUUCAACGAGUAUUCACCUUGCCCGGGAGGGUUGGGUAAUCUUUUGAAAACGCUUCGUGAUGGGGAUAGAUUAUUGCAAUUAUUAAUCUUCAACGAGGAAUUCCUAGUAAGCGCGAGUCAUCAGCUCGUGCUGAUUACGUCCCUGCCCUUUGUACACACCGCCCGUCGCUCCUACCGAUUGAGCGAUCCGGUGAAUAAUUCGGACUGCGGCAUUGACCGGUUCCCGAUCGUUGCUGCGGAAAGUUUAGUGAACCUUAUCACUUAGAGGAAGGAGAAGUCGUAACA